GGCGCGGGUGCGCGGUGCGGCGCUGGUAUCCAGAGGACGCGGUCACCGCCUCUGGCAUUUGUCGUUCUGCGCUUCUCCGCAAGGACCCUCUGUUAGGCAGGCGCCCACCGUAAGCCUCCCGGGCCUUGUGAACCUGCAAACCCAAGUCUGAGAGACGAUCCGCCUUCAGCGCUUUCCAGCUUGGCAGAGAGGCUUUCCCGGCGGGGAUCUUUGGUUGGCGCUGGCGAUGCGCGGGGAAGAAAGGCGAGGAGCGGCGUCCAGGCUGGGUGAUGUCCCAGCACGAGUAGGCGGGAUGCGCUCGCUUGGUCCUCCGGGCGCCCGGUCCCUGCCCGCGUCGCGCGCCCACCCCUGGGGACGAGAAGGCGGCCGCCUGAGGACCCCCGCCCGCGACCUCCGCGAGUCUGGAGCGCAGAGGACAGGGUCUGGCUGCUCUUUGGCCUUGGAUGGAAAGUGGGGAAUUGGGUGGGGGGCUGCGGACCCCUUAACGUGGAUUACUUGGUGUGUAUCAGCUGGGCUCAGAAGACCCACGACCUCUUCUCCAUCCGUGGAUUGAUUUGUUCUGCUUAACAGCUGGGUCGCCAAGCUGGAGGUAUUUUUCCCUCUCCACCCUGGUCUUCUCCUGUAACGUGUGGCCGCCUUUUCCAGCACGGCCUCCUGCCUUCCUGGUGCACUUUUUGGAGAACGUGGUGGAAUCAGAGGUUUCUGGCUGACUCGGUGGGUGCUUUGAACCAGGAAAGGACAAGAAAGAGGAACUCUGAAAGCCACAUGUUGAGAUGGCCCCAUUACAGGAUGGAGAGCACCUGAACCCCCAAGUUAUGGACUAGAAGAAGACAGUUGCCCUGGAAAAUCAUCUGACCCACAUUGGACUUUAUGUGAGGGGGAAAUAAACCUUUAUUAUGUUAAGCUACACAAUAAUAAAUAACAACAAUAAUUGUGUUUAUUUGUUACCUCA
rnacentral:lncRNA from 1 species